CGAAGUAGUCCGGUGAAAAAGAAACUAAAAAUCAAUAAAACAGAAUACCAUCAAGUUUUCCACAAAAGCCUACCAAAACGAAAAAAAUGGAGAAAAAAGGAUUCACUAGCUCAGAAAACUGAAAAAAUACCCAUUUGCAUAAUUGAAGGGAUUGAGGAUGAUGCACUAUACAAUUCAGACAUUGUAGUCGCACAACGUACUAGCUUCCCGCAAGAAGACUUUGACGCAAAUAAGGGUUGUGGUGAUCAUUCCCAACGAAAACACGAACCCUUGUCAAGAUUAAUAAAUGCAACAAAGAUGGGGUUCAAAUUGCACGACGUAUUGU